GACGAACCGUGCAAACGUUAUUCGGAAUCACUGGGCAUAAAGGGCGCGUAGGCGGCUUCAUAAGUCAGGGGUGAAAUCCGGCAGCUUAACUGUCGCAGUGCCUUUGAUACUGUGGAGCUCGAGGGAGGUAGGGGUCUGUGGAACUUCCGGUGGAGCGGUGAAAUGCGUUGAUAUCGGAAGGAACGCCGGUGGCGAAAGCGACGGACUGGAUCUCUUCUGACGCUGAGGCGCGAAAAGCGUGGGGGAGCAAACAGGG
rnacentral:rRNA from 1 species